GACGAACGCUGGCGGCGUGCCUAAUACAUGCAAGUUGAGCGAUGAAGAUUGGUGCUUGCACCAAUUUGAAGAGCAGCGAACGGGUGAGUAACGCGUGGGGAAUCUGCCUUUGAGCGGGGGACAACAUUUGGAAACGAAUGCUAAUACCGCAUAACAACUUUAAACAUAAGUUUUAAGUUUGAAAGAUGCAAUUGCAUCACUCAAAGAUGAUCCCGCGUUGUAUUAGCUAGUUGGUGAGGUAAAGGCUCACCAAGGCGAUGAUACAUAGCCGACCUGAGAGGGUGUUCGGCCCCAUUGGGACUGAGACACGGCCCAAACUCCUACGGGAGGCAGCAGUAGGGAAUCUUCGGCAAUGGACGAAAGUCUGACCGAGCAACGCCGCGUGAGUGAAGAAGGUUUUCGGAUCGUAAAGCUCUGUUGGUAGAGAAGAACGUUGGUGAGAGUGGAAAGCUCAUCAAGUGACGGUAACUACCCAGAAAGGGACGGCUAACUACGUG
rnacentral:rRNA from 1 species